rnacentral:rRNA from 1 species
UGGGGAAUUUUGGACAAUGGGCGCAAGCCUGAUCCAGCAAUGCCGCGUGAGUGAAGAAGGCCUUCGGGUUGUAAAGCUCUUUUGUCAGGGAAGAAACGGUGGGGGCUAAUAUCCUCCACUAAUGACGGUACCUGAAGAAUAAGCACCGGCUAACUACGUGCCAGCAGCCGCGGUAAUACGUAGGGUGCAAGCGUUAAUCGGAAUUACUGGGCGUAAAGCGUGCGCAGGCGGUUGUGUAAGUCAGAUGUGAAAUCCCCGGGCUCAACCUGGGAAUUGCAUUUGAGACUGCACGGCUAGAGUGUGUCAGAGGGGGGUAGAAUUCCACGUGUAGCAGUGAAAUGCGUAGAUAUGUGGAGGAAUACCGAUGGCGAAGGCAGCCCCCUGGGGAUAACACUGACGCUCAUGCACGAAAGCGUGGGGAGCAAACAGGAUUAGAUACCCCUGUAGUCCCUGAGCGGGCUGGCAAGGCGCAU